UUAAAGAGUAAGGGUCUCCCCCCUCGGGGGGAUCAAAGGCCCGAACCUCCCACCCUUUGUCGUCGAACAAAAGUUUGUUGCUUUGGCGGGACCGCCGGCCCCCGUGGCCGGCUGCCGGGUCCCAUCCGAUCGGGUAUGCGCCCGCCAGAGGUAAAAACUCCAACUCUUUGUAUUGAAAAACAGUCUGAGCAAGUAAUUGAUAAAUCAAUCAAAACUUUCAACAACGGAUCUCUUGGUUCUGGCAUCGAUGAAGAACGCAGCGAAAUGCGAUAAGUAAUGUGAAUUGCAGAAUUCAGUGAAUCAUCGAAUCUUUGAACGCACAUUGCGCCCCUUGGUAUUCCGGGGGGCAUGCCUGUUCGAGCGUCAUUACACCAAUCAAGCCUCGCUUGGUAUUGGGCCCCUUCGUCCCCCUGCCGCAAACCCGUCCGCGGGUACUCGGCCGUGGGGGGCGGGCCUCAAACACUUCGGCGGAGUCUCACCGGCUUUGGGCGUAGCAGAAUAUGUUACACGUCUACGGGCUCGGGGGGGUCUCCCGCCGUCUAAGCGGAAGCCCGGACUGCACCCUCGUCCUCCCAACCCGGGAGAGCGGGGACAGGACGGCUCCAUCCAUCUAAAGGUUGACCUCGGAUCAGGUAGGGAUACCCGCUGAACUUAAGCAUAUCAAUAAGCGGAGGAAAAGAAACCAACAGGGAUUGCCUCAGUAACGGCGAGUGAAGCGGCAACAGCUCAAAUUUGAAAUCUGGCUCCUCCGGGGUCCGAGUUGUAAUUUGUAGAGGAUGCUUUUGGGCAGCCACCGGUCUAAGUUCCUUGGAACAGGACGUCACAGAGGGUGAGAAUCCCGUAUGUGGCCGGAUGGGCACCCUUCGUAAAGCUCCUUCGACGAGUCGGGUUGUUUGGGAAUGCAGCCCUAAAUUGGAGGUAAAUUUCUUCUAAAGCUAAAUACCGGCCAGAGACCGAUAGCGCACAAGUAGAGUGAUCGAAAGAUGAAAAGCACUUUGGAAAGAGAGUUAAAAAGCACGUGAAAUUGUUGAAAGGGAAGCGCUUGCAAUCAGUCUCGACGGCGCCCGUUCAGCCGGUCUUCUGACCGGUCACUCGGACGUCGCCGGGCCAGCAUCAGUUUUGGCGGCCGGAUAAAGGCCGCGGGAAUGUAGCUGCCUCGGAGUGUUAUAGCCCGCGGUGUAAUACGGCCAGCCGGGA
rnacentral:misc_RNA from 1 species